CUCUGCUACUUUUUAAAUCAUCUAUGCUGUGCAAAAGUUUCACCCGGACACCUGGAUUCCCUUUCAAAAGCUGUGCGAUUUUCACAUUCUGCACACACAGAUGGAAAUAAUCUGAGGAAAUCCUUAUUGGGUAGCAACAAGAGGAAGAAAGAAUGAGGCACACGUGAUAGCGCUGUCAUGGACACCAUGGGUGCAAAAAUGAGGAUACUGAGACUCAAAGUGGUGAAGAGACUUAUCCAAUGUCAUAAGCUGGGAGCUAGGGUAUGACCCAAGCAGAACCUGUACACUGGAGCCCAGGAUUACUGACAAAGGACACACCUUCUCUAGCCCCUCCUGGUGGACUUCCUCAGCUACGAAGUGCUAUUAUCAUCUCCUAGAGCUGUGGUGAGAAUUAACUAAAAUAACAUGGAUGAAGCUCUUGCGCGGCACCUGGCACAUGCCCAACCUGACUGCUGUGUUCUGCCCUGAGUCUGCAGAGGCUGACCCUGGCCAGGAAAGUGGUUGGAAAAGCAUUUUUGCAGAGAGGCAGCCUGAAGGUGGUGGCUCUAUCGGGGCAAAGAACUGUAAGCAGAGACAAAAUGAAAGCCCUCUAGGCCCACAAUUGAUUCUAACGGCUGUGAGGGAAUGAGCUUCAACUACUGUUGAUGGGAGGGACUGUGUGCCAGGCACUGUGCUAGGGACUCUCAUGCAUGAUCUCAUUCAUCUUCUGCAUAACCCAAUGAGACUUAACAUCUCUGGAAAGCCAGAAAUCAGAGAUACAGAGAAGUAUUGAAAUGCUGAAAUGCUAUGAAUUUACUAUAAGAGAACAUUCUUCACUGAAGAGAUCUCUAGCUGCCAAAACACCCUUUCAUGCGUGAAAUACCGGGGCAAAGAGGAAGGAAAAGAGAAGAGUAUGACUCUAGGAACCAUGUUGCAGAAAUGCCAAAGGGUGGGACAAACAAAGUUACUAAUGUGGAGAAAGAAGAUUAUCAUGUGUGGAACGAAGGACAAUAUGAACAUUAAAUAAUGCCCUGACUCAUUCCAAAAAGAAUCUGAGAUGACCAAUAAAGCCAUUUUUAAUUGUUUAUUAGUGAACAAUAGAUUAUGAGUGCUAAAGGGAUUCAGGAAGAAGAAAGAUCAGUGCAGAGUAGAGAAGUCUGAUGGAUGCAUUGAAGAAGCUAUGCUUGAGCUGAAAUGACAAGAGAGCUGUUUUUCGCUUUCAGAAUUAUUAUGUGGCAAUGGUAAUUGACAACAGAGAAGCUGAAGGGAGGAAGUCACUUUAUGGGAGCAGAGUCACUCUCAAGUAAUAGCUGGCCAUACAGAUUGCUCUGGACCAAGGGUGAAUGUGAAGAAGAAAAGACCGGCCAGCAACACAAUGGAAUAUCUAGAGUCAUAUUGAGGGAAAUACUUAGAUUGCUGAUUUCUUAGUGGAUUUCACAAGCAGAGCUGCUUGUGAGCAGAAUGGUGAAGUAGGGGCAUGUGUUUCUGGGGUCUUAUUCCAUGGCUUCCUUCCACCUACAAGAGUCAUCCUCACGGAGUACUUGCAUUUCAGUAGAAGAAAAAAAUCUUAUAGAUGGAAGGGAAGGAUGGGGUUCCUGCUUUAGGAAGAUUGGCAUGGUCAUAAGUCUGAGCAAGGAAGGGCCCAGGGCAGCUCAGAGCUCUGAGCAGGAAGCUCUAAUUAGUUACUGAAUAUGGUGCAAGCACAAAGAGAGCGUAGUGUUUUCCCUUUCCAUCUGUGGAAGUCUUGGCCAUGCUUACUUGGGCGUUCCUUCCAGGAAACAUUUAUUUUUCCUCUUUAAUGCCCUCCUCAUAUCUAUGCUCUCAGUAGAGGAUGCCACUGCUUCUGGCACCUGGAUAAUAGAAUGAAGCUGAUUGGGAUGGAAACAGAAAAGUCAUCUCUCAGAACAAUGAGCAGAGACUGAAACUCCCUUGUACCCAGUCCCUGUGCACUGCUGUUCAUAGCCAAAUGGGCAAGGCCUUGCCAAAUGUCAUGUUGAGAUAGAAGAAGAAGGCAGAGGAGUCAGUGUUGGAGUGAUGCCAUGUGAGAAAGACUCAACUGGCCAUUGCUGGCUUUGAAAAUGGAAGGAGGCAUAAGCCAAGGAAUGAAUGCAGGUGCCUCUAGAACCUGGAAAAAGCAAGGAAACAAAUUCUCCUCUAGAACCUCCAGAAGGAAUGCAUUCCUGCCAACACCUUGAUUUUUAGCUCGGUGAGACCCAUGCUGGACUUCUGACCUGCAGGAUUGCAAGAUAAGAUAUUUGACUUAUUUUAAGAUGCUAAGUUUGCAGUAAUUUGAUAUGGUAGCCAUCGGAAACUAAUACCGAUGCCAAAGCAGUAAAGCAGGAAAGCACUCCAAAAUCACAGGAGUGAGAGGAGCAGAAAUGUCCUAGGAGAAGACAAUGUUUCCUUUUGAAAAGGAAAGUUUACUGGCAACUUCCAUUUGAAUUUCUUAAUUUCUUUCCUCAGUGGCAGUCACUACUUCCAAGGUGGCAGGUUCCAGAGCUGAUUCAUUAUAUAAUCUUUUCUCAGGAGUAUUCUAGCCACCUUUAAAGAAGCUAGGGCCAUUUUCCUGACACUGCAUCAAGGGGUAAGGUUAGUGGUAAAGAAACCAUGCGGUAGGAAAGGCCAACUUUCUCCCUACAUAAUCCAAUCGCAUUAUCUCCAGACUUGCUCACCCUCUGCUCUUUGCAUACUGCAGCUCCAGAGCUUUCAUACCUACAGACUUCCUGGAGUUAAGACUAAAACAAGAGUUGUGCUACAGACUACCGUUCCUAUUAUCAUUUUUUGUGUCCUGCUGAGUCCUCCCCUCUUGGCAACUUCAGGACCACCCACUGGGAAGAUAAUAUACAACCCAUCAGGAAACUCCCAGUGCCCAUCGUGGAGGCCAAGUGCUGCCAACUCUGAUUGCUUCUGGAAUGCCAUUUCUUCCCUGCCCUUUCAAUAUUCUUGUUAUGCGACUCCUAUGAUCACUGCCAAUCUGUAGAAAAUUACAGGAUGAAUUUUUGUGAAGGACUGAAUUUGCAUACUGGUCUUUUGUUGUUUAUUGUUGGGGGGAUUUUGCUUUUUGCACACAAUUUCUGCACAUUUUAUUGGAAGUUAUUGGGUUAGAUUCAUCCCAUUCAUUCACUAGCCUGGCAUUGCUAUGCAUGUGCUGUAGGGGCUUAGCAUUAAACGAUUUUCUUUGUUCAGAUUUGGAUUGCUGUCUCUGCUUGCAAAUUAUUUUUCACAAUGACUCCUUCUUUUCCUUCUCUCUCUCUCUCUUUCUCUCUCUCUCUCUCUCACACACACACACAGACACACACACACACACACACACACACACACACACACACACACAGAUGAGGUUAGAUAUUUUUCCAUUGCCAAGUUCAGGACCCAUGAAUAC
rnacentral:lncRNA from 10 species